GCUGCGCACUUCGGUCUUUUACGUCGGCCUUCGCGAGCGUCUGGGCGGGUGGUAGGUGAGUGGGUAUUGCGGGCUAGUAUCCGAGCAAAAGAUGGUGGCGCAGGCCGAGUUAAGAGCUUUAAUCCUGUGAAGACAUCUUAGUGAAGAGUUUAGAGUGCUGAGAGUUGAAAGCUUGCACGUGGGAAACGUGCGGCCGGACUGCCACAUGUACUGAGGUUGAGUCGUGACGGCCACAGGCUCCGAGUUUUGGCGUGAGGAACCGCUGAUCGGCCACGGGCGCCGAACUUGCUGGCCUCCGGCAUGUGCCUGAGCGGCGGCGGAAAAACCACCUUAAUUGGGGCGGAGGGUUAGUUUUAACAGCAAAGGGCCUUUACUAAAAUGGCGAAGGCCUUCCGUCGGCGUUGUUUUAAAAUGGGAAGCCUCGACCCUGUAUUGAAACUGAGCUGUUCGAAGGCGGCGUUGUGUGCAAUUCGGAUUAAUGAAGGGGAAGGGUUUUGUGUGGAAAAACGCCUUGGAGUGUGACAUUUCUGCGAGAAUGCUUAAAUACCGAUUUCCCGCAGGAACAAUGGCGCUGUCUUCAGUGGCACAGUGGAGCAGCUCUGAAGAUGCAAAGAUACACGAAAAAACUUCCAGAACAUCUGGGAGAAUAUUUAAUGGAAAAUCGCUUGGUUAAAACCUGACACUUUUAACAGUGAACAGCGUUCUGAGUGUGGACGAGUAGCCAGUGAAGAUAAUGAAUGUCGAAUGUGACUGACUAGCAGCUUCAUUUUGAAUGAGGGUCGCUGUCUGCCCAUUGAUAGAGGCCAGAUUGUCUUGGAAGUUCCAAAGUUGCAACGAUUUCUGUAAGUGGAGUUUUUCUGUUUGCUUAGAGAUCAGUGAAUAUUGUGUCCUUGGUCUUAUCUGUGAUGAUCUUAUCCCGAACCUGAACUUCUGUUGAAAAAAAAAAACUUUUACGGAUCUGGCUUCUGAGAUGGACCGUUAUAAGGACAAUAUUUUUUUUUAAUACUUUUAAUGCUUUUACAUAUGUUGUAAUGUUUGUAGUCUUGUAAGAAUCUCGUGUUUUUCCUUUUCUAGGGCUAGUGCCACGAGGUUUACUUGACUGUUGUGUGAAAAGCUGAUAAGAAAACCAUCCAGAAAAAAGCUCUUCGUUUUACAAACAUGAAAAUAAAACAUGUAAUUUUGGAUUA
rnacentral:lncRNA from 1 species